GAUGAACGCUGGCGGCGUGCCUAAUACAUGCAAGUCGAGCGAACGGACGAGAAGCUUGCUUCUCUGAUGUUAGCGGCGGGCGGGUGAGUAACACGUGGAUAACCUACCUAUAAGACUGGGAUAACUUCGGGAAACCGGAGCUAAUACCGGAUAAUAUUUUGAACCGCAUGGUUCAAAAGUGAAAGACGGUCUUGCUGUCACUUAUAGAUGGAUCCGCGCUGCAUUAGCUAGUUGGUAAGGUAACGGCUUACCAAGGCAACGAUGCAUAGCCGACCUGAGAGGGUGAUCGGCCACACUGGAACUGAGACACGGUCCAGACUCCUACGGGAGGCAGCAGUAGGGAAUCUUCCGCAAUGGGCGAAGGCCUGACGGAGCAACGCCGCGUGAGUGAUGAAGGUCUUCGGAUCGUAAAACUCUGUUAUUAGGGAAGAACAUAUGUGUAAGUAACUGUGCACAUCUUGACGGUACCUAAUCAGAAAGCCACGGCUAACUACGUG
rnacentral:rRNA from 1 species